UUUGAUCCUGGCUCAGGAUGAACGCUAGCGACAGGCUUAACACNUGCAAGUCGAGGGGCAGCGGUGUUGGAGGCUUGCCUCCAACAGCCGGCGACCGGCGCACGGGUGAGUAACACGUAUGCAACCUGGCCGUCACAGGGGGAUAACCGGUAGAAAUGCCGCCUAAUACCCCAUGACACCCUUUAGGGGCAUCCCUGGGGGGUCAAAGGGAGCGAUCCCGGUGAUGGAUGGGCAUGCGGCGCAUUAGCUAGUCGGCGGGGUAACGGCCCACCGAGGCGACGAUGCGUAGGGGUUCUGAGAGGAAGGUCCCCCACAUUGGAACUGAGACACGGUCCAAACUCCUACGGGAGGCAGCAGUGAGGAAUAUUGGUCAAUGGGCGGAAGCCUGAACCAGCCAAGUCGCGUGAGGGAUUAAGGCCCUACGGGUCGUAAACCUCUUUUGUCAGGGAGCAAAUGCGCCCACGUGUGGGCGAGUGGAGAGUACCUGAAGAAAAAGCAUCGGCUAACUCCGUGCCAGCAGCCGCGGUNAUACGGAGGAUGCGAGCGUUNNUCCGGAUUUAUUGGGUUUAAAGGGUGCGUAGGCGGGUUGUUAAGUCAGCGGUAAAAUUGCGGUGCUCAACGCCGUAGAGCCGUUGAAACUGGCGGCCUUGAGUGGGCGAGAAGUAUGCGGAAUGCGUGGUGUAGCGGUGAAAUGCAUAGAUAUCACGCAGAACCCCGAUUGCGAAGGCAGCAUACCGGCGCCCUACUGACGCUGAGGCACGAAAGUGCGGGUAUCGAACAGGAUUAGAUACCCUGGUAGUCCGCACAGUAAACGAUGGAUGCUAGUUGUUCCGGCCCGAACGGGGGCUGGGUGGCAAAGCGAAAGCGUUAAGCAUCCCACCUGGGGAGUACGCCGGCAACGGUGAAACUCAAAGGAAUUGACGGGGGCCCGCACAAGCCGGAGGAACAUGUGGUUUAAUUNNAUNAUACGCGAAGGAACCUUACCCGGGCUCAAACGCCAUAGGGAUUGGUCCCUGAAANGGGUCCAGUCAGCAAUGACCUAUGGCGAGGUGCUGCAUGGUUGUCGUCAGCUCGUGCCGUGAGGUGUCGGCUUAAGUGCCAUAACGAGCGCAACCCCUACCGACAGUUGCUACCUGGUAAUGCAGAGGACUCAGUCGGGACUGCCGGCGCAAGCUGCGAGGAAGGCGGGGAUGACGUCAAAUCAGCACGGCCCUUACGUCCGGGGCGACACACGUGUUACAAUGGCAGGUACAGCGGGAAGCCACCAGGCGACUGGGCGCGGAACCUGAAAACCUGUCUCAGUUCGGAUCGGAGUCUGCAACCCGACUCCGUGAAGCUGGAUUCGCUAGUAAUCGCGCAUCAGCCAUGGCGCGGUGAAUACGUUCCCGGGCCUUGUACACACCGCCCGUCAAGCCAUGGGAGCCGGGAGUGCCUGAAGUCCGUGACCGCGAGGAGCGACCUAGGGUAAGACCGGUGACUGGGGCUAAGUCGUAANCAAGGUAGCCG
rnacentral:rRNA from 1 species